CUGGCUCAGGAUGAACGCUGGCGGCGUGCUUAACACAUGCAAGUCGAACGGAGUUUAGAUGAAAGCUUGCUUUGACUAAACUUAGUGGCGGACGGGUGAGUAACGCGUGGGUAACCUGCCUUAUACAGGGGGAUAACAGUCGGAAACGACUGCUAAUACCGCAUAAGCGCACGGAAUCGCAUGAUUCAGUGUGAAAAGAUUUAUCGGUAUAAGAUGGACCCGCGUCUGAUUAGCUAGUUGGUGAGGUAACGGCCCACCAAGGCGACGAUCAGUAGCCGGCCUGAGAGGGUGAACGGCCACAUUGGGACUGAGACACGGCCCAAACUCCUACGGGAGGCAGCAGUGGGGAAUAUUGCACAAUGGGGGAAACCCUGAUGCAGCGACGCCGCGUGAGUGAAGAAGUAUUUCGGUAUGUAAAGCUCUAUCAGCAGGGAAGAAAAUGACGGUACCUGACUAAGAAGCCCCGGCUAACUACGUGCCAGCCGCGGC
rnacentral:rRNA from 1 species